GACGUAGGGUGCGAGCGUUGUCCGGAUUUAUUGGGCGUAAAGAGCUCGUAGGCGGCUCGUCGCGUCGGCUGUGAAAACCCGCAGCUUAACUGUGGGCUUGCAGCUGAUACGGGCGGGCUAGAGUUCGGUAGGGGAGAGUGGAAUUCCUGGUGUAGCGGUGAAAUGCGCAGAUAUCAGGAAGAACACCAAUGGCGAAAGCAGCUCUCUGGGACGGUACUGACGCUGAGACGCGAAAGCGUGGGGAGCGAACAGG
rnacentral:rRNA from 1 species